rnacentral:rRNA from 1 species
AGCAGUAGCCGCGGUAAUACGUAGGGUGCGAGCGUUAAUCGGAAUUACUGGGCGUAAAGCGUGCGCAGGCGGUUCGUUAAGACAGAUGUGAAAUCCCCGGGCUUAACCUGGGAACUGCAUUUGUGACUGGCGAGCUAGCGUAUGGCAGAGGGGGGUAGAAUUCCACGUGUAGCAGUGAAAUGCGUAGAGAUGUGGAGGAAUACCGAUGGCGAAGGCAGCCCCCUGGGCCAAUACUGACGCUCAUGCACGAAAGCGUGGGGAGCAAACAGGAUUAGAUACCCCCGUAGUCCCUGUCUCUUAUAC